UUGACUCAAAGAAAUAAUGUAGAGGCAUCACCCAAAGUUCUCAAACCACCUGCUCCCAGUCCGAGUUCAAAGUCUAAUGCAGAUACACCAACUGUUGCUUCAACAAAAUUGCCAUUAGAUUCUGCAAAAAGGAUACCAGAAUCACACCAUUUGAAGCACCAGGUAUGGCUGCUUCCAGUAAGUGUUCCUAUUUAAAUCUAUUAUGUUAUCAAUAUCCUCGCUUAUUUUGCAAGAUUCUGCUAUCCAGUUACCUUUAAUUGAAUCCUCCCCAAAGGCCAAACCUAGACAUGAAGGGAUUCCUCAGCCUGCGCCUGGGACGCAUGUUGCUGAAGAUGUACUACCUUCUAAGCCUAGGCAAACAACUCCU
rnacentral:lncRNA from 1 species